rnacentral:tRNA from 1 species
GCCGGGGUCUCCUAGCCUGGAAGGGAGCAGGCCUGGAGAGCCUGUGCCCCGCACGGGGCGCGCGGGUUCAAAUCCCGCCCCCGGCGCCA